AUUAUAAUCUCUCACAACAUGUGACCAGUAAUGACUCGAAAACCAAUUAUACUUUUAAAAACUGAUUAUUUUUUGAGAAUAAUUUAAACAAUUUAGUCACAAAGUAAAUCAAUCGGAGGUCAGUGAAUCAGCUGGAGAUUAAUGAGUGAACCACAGAGCGGAUAGAACUUUUCUUUGCAUUUCAUAAGACUAAAGUAAGUGAGAAUGAGUGCAAUCAAUGCACAUUUUAGAUGAAUUGUCAACAAGUUACAAGUAAUUUACAAAAUCAUGAGAUGAUGCAUUCAUAUAAAAUCAAUAAUAAAGACCAUAGCUGCUAGUGUAACUCAAUUUGGCUGUAGUGGACUAAAAUAGGUAAAAGGAGAGGGAAAAUAUUUAAUGUAAUGGCUUCAUAUGAUUUAUUAUUAUAUGUCACUAUGAUUAAUAGAUCAAGCAAAAAAUGACAGAACUAGUUAUUAUAUUAAGCAAAGAAGCAAUGCACUAAAAAGAGUUUCCUUUGCCAAGGGUGGAGGAAAGGAUGACAGCUAGAGUGACAGAUGAGGCCUAUGAAUGUGCACUCUCAGAAAUAAAGGUACAAAUCUGUACCUUUUCUGUCACUGGGGCUGUACCCUUUCAAAAUGUACAGCUUUGCAACUAAGAAUAUCAUUUUAGUAUCUCAGAGGUACAUACUGCACUCUAAAAAACAUUGGAUUGUUUUUUCAACCCAACUGCUGGGUUGAGCCAGUUGGGUUAUUUUGUUGGGUUGUUUUAUCAGUGUUGGGUAGUUUUUGUGUAACCCAACUUGUUGGGUUAUAUGUUGGGUAAUUUUGAAGCAGAGCCAACUUAAUAGAUACAUAUAGCUGUUUCUCAAUAUUACUUUCUCUAGUCCACAAAAUGUACUUUAAACAUAAGUUCAGGCGAGAAUAUAUAUGUAUAAUGUUCAAAUUUGCAGUCGGUUUGUAAAGUGAACGCCAAUUUUAAAGUUUAAUUACACAAAGUCGGAAUGUUACCGGCGCGACCACCGGGUGUCAGUGUUGUUCUUCCCCAGAGAGAACUCAUCCCUUCCCCCACACAGACGCGUCAGACUCUGACUUUUGCCACAGCAACAACGCUACCUGACGCGGGAAUUUACUCACCUCAGGAUUCAUGAACGGUUUUUCAUCGACUUAUCUUUGAUUUAUUUGAAGGAAAAGACCCUGAUGGAUAAAAGAUGGAUAUUUUUUCCUGGAGAAGCUAAAACAAUGUAACUUUGAGGUUCUGAUACCAGCUUUUACAAAGUUAUUUACAGAGUUCACAAGACUUCUCUGUGUUAUUUCCUGACCAUGCCGAAAAGCUAUUUGAAACUUGGGCAUUGCAUUUUACAGACAGAAUCCUGCAACUUCCCAGCCAAGAACCAGGAGCAUCAACAAAUCAGGUUGGGACCAACAUGGUUGCAUUCUUCUGAGAGGCUGAGGUGACAAAACCAUUCCCAUUUGUUCUUGGAUUGGAAGAUGGCGAUCUCUGCCAUCAAGCCUUCAUUGUUUUUGACAGACAGUCACUCCAGCAAUACACCCUCCUUGUAGCCUAGAAAUCUAGACGCACCCUAGCGGCCGCAAAAUAUAUUUGUUGCCAGGGUUUAGUCUAGGCACUCACAAUACACUUAACAGCUCCAAAAACCAAAAUUUGGUCAGGCCAAUCACAUCGUGUGUAGCGUCUGUGGGGCGGGCUUAACAUGAUGACGACAGAGCUGCAACGGUUCCUACUUGAAAACAAAGAAUGGCUGCUGCUGCUGGCGAACAGCUUUCUUUUGAAGCGGCUUUGGCCGCGACUCUGGAGGACUUAGACUUAUGUUUUUCUUUGAGAGAAGAGCAAAUAACCCUACUGAAGUCCUUUUUAAGCAAGAAAGAUGUGCUUGGAGUUUUGCCGACUGGUUACGGUAACUACGUCACCUUCUUCGUUGCUCUGAUUGGUCAUAGCGCUAUCCUAUUGCGUGCAGAGGCAUUUUGAGGGACAACCUUAUAUCCCGCCCCUUGCAUUGAGCCGUUUGUGUGAAGAGUUGCCAGACCUUACAUCUUGAUGUAGGUCUGGCUAACCAGGCUACCCUCCUUGGUGAUGUUGACAUGUUUUAAACUUUUUUUAUGUUUUGGACAUUAAUUUUACUAAGCAGUGCACAUCAGUGUGGGUGUUUUUGAAGACUGUUGUUUACAAACUCCCAAGAACGGAAUCCCUUUCUAUAAGAAGUCUGUGUAGUUAUUUGUCAUGCUAAGGUGAUAACUCAUGUUGAUCAUAUAUUGACUGUUUGUGCAACUUUGUGUUGAUCUUAUGUGUUACAUUAACCAUUUCUUAUUACACGGUUCUCUAAAAUGCUAGAUUCUGAUUGGGCAGUCGUGACAUUCUACUACUGCUCAAAACUAAAAACUCCAAUGCUGCAAAUAAUUUUGACAGGUACAGUUUUAUA